rnacentral:rRNA from 1 species
AGGAGAGUUUGAUCCUGGCUCAGGAUGAACGCUGGCGGCGUGCUUAACACAUGCAAGUCGAACGGAGAUUACUUUUUAGCUUGCUAUUUUGUAAUCUUAGUGGCGGACGGGUGAGUAACGCGUGGGUAACCUGCCUUAUCCAGGGGUAUAACGGAGAGAAAUUUCCACUAAUCCCCCAUAUUGUUAUUCUUUCGCAUGUUAGGAUAACGAAAGGUUUUUCUGGUUACGGAUGGGCAUGCGUGACAUUAGGUAGUUGGUAAGGUAACGGCUUACCAAGCCGACGAUGUCUAGGGGAGCUGAGAGGCUUAUCCCCCACACUGGUACUGAGACACGGACCAGACUCCUACGGGAGGCAGCAGUGAGGAAUAUUGGUCAAUGGGAGGAAUCCUGAACCAGCCAUGCCGCGUGGAGGAAGAAGGUCCUAUGGGUUGUAAACUCCUUUUGUCCCGGAGUAAUAAGUGGUUUGCGAACCACGAUGAGAGUACGGGGCGAAUAAGCAUCGGCUAACUCCGUGCCAGCAGCCGCGGUAAUACGGAGGAUGCAAGCGUUAUCCGGAUUUAUUGGGUUUAAAGGGUGCGCAGGCGGACCGUUAAGUCAGCGGUGAAAUCUCCCGGCUCAACCGGGGAACUGCCGUUGAUACUGGCGGACUUGAGCACGGACGGCGCCGGCGGAAUGUGUCAUGUAGCGGUGAAAUGCGUAGAUAUUCGGAGGAACACCAGUGGCGAAGGCGGCCUGCUGGGCUCUAACUGACGCUGAGGCUCGAAAGUGUGGGGAGCAAACAGGAUUAGAUACCCUGGUAGUCCCCU